ACUCCUACGGGAGGCAGCAGUAGGGAAUAUUGGACAAUGGGCGAAAGCCUGAUCCAGCAAUGCCGCGUGAGUGAUGAAGGCCUUAGGGUUGUAAAGCUCUUUUACCGGGAUGAUAAUGACAGUACCGGGAGAAUAACGCUCCGGCUAACUCCGUGCCAGCAGCCGCGGUAAUACGGAGGAGCUAGCGUUGUUCGGAAUUACUGGGCGUAAAGCGCACGUAGGCGGCUAUUCAAGUCAGAGGUGAAAGCCCGGGGCUCAACCCCGGAACUGCCCUUUGAAACUAGAUAGCUUGAAUCCAGGAGAGGUGAGUGGAAUUCCGAGUGUAGAGUGAAAUUCGUAGAUAUUCGGAAGAACACCAGUGGCGAAGGCGGCUCACUGGACUGGUAUUGACGCUGAGGUGCGAAA
rnacentral:rRNA from 1 species